rnacentral:tRNA from 1 species
GCCCUCUUAGCUCAAUUGGCUAGAGCAACACCCUUGUAAUGUGUAGGUUGUCGGAUCGUACCCGAUGGAGGGCU